rnacentral:rRNA from 1 species
CCUACGGGAGGCAGCAGUGGGGAAUAUUGCGCAAUGAGCGAAACCCUGAUGCAGCGACACCGCGUGAGUGAAGAAGGAAUUCGUUAUGUAAACCUCUAUCAUCAGGGAAGAAAAUGACGGUACCUGAGUAAGAAGCCCCGGCGAACUACGUGCCAGCAGCCGCGGUAAUACUUAGGGGGCACGCGUUAUCCGGAUUUACUGGGUGUAAAGGGAGCGUAGACGGCAGUGCAAGUCUGGAGUGAAAGGCGGGUGCUCAACCCCCGGACUGCUCUGGAAACUGGGCGGCUGGAGUGCAGGAGGGGUAGGCGGAAUGCCUGGUGUAGCGGUGAAAUGCGUAGAUAUCAGGAGGAACACCGGUGGCGAAGGCGGCCUGCUGGAUUGCGACUGACGUUGAGGACCGAAAGCGUGGGGAGCAAACAGGAUUAGAUACCCGGGUAGUC